rnacentral:lncRNA from 10 species
AAAUGGUGCUGUGCUUCUUUGGGAAAUCAAUUCGUCCCACCCUUAAUAGGGCAUUUUGCCCUCCCUCUUUGGGAGUCCCAGGCGAACAUGCUUCCAGGUCUCUCAAAAUCAGUUAUAACAGACCCACGUUUGAAGAGGCGGCACCUUUCCCUGCCUGCGUUCCUUCAAUAGCCUGUGCCCCCUGAGAAUCUCUUUCUGCUCUCUGCAACAUCUCACUUCCCUUUUCUCUCUUCUUUGGGCUCCCCCGCCCCUCUCUACCGAGGCCUCUUUCAUAAUUAGGCUGAAAGUGGAACUUUCCCCCACUCCCUUACUUUGAGAUUUCUUUUUUCCCAGUGACCUGGGCUGCACUUUGCCCCCACUCCCUGCCUGCCAAUCUCUUCAGGGUUAGGGCCUCUCUCUUUCCAUUCUUGCCGCUCCCCCUCCUUGAGAGCUCCGGGAGGCCCAGCCUCCCUGAAUCCGAUCGGCUUCCAACACAGCAGCCCCCCUGUGGAGGAAGGAAGAGGCCUCCUCAGAAUGAAUGGCUGGCUCUCCAGGAGGAGCCCCACAUUGAAUCACUGCAACCUCUUGUGGACUAUUUUAUCAAAUGCUUUGGCAGGACCAGAGCAGCCUGGACUCUCAGGGAACCUGGCUUGGAGAGUGCGUGCUGGAAGAAGGGAGAAGGAUGAAGAAAUGGGAAGUGAAACUUUCCAGAGGAGGUUGAGGGGAGGCUGCUCUGAAAGGAGGCCGUCGCUACCCAGGAUGUGUGAGCUGUGAGCUGUGACAUCCAAGCAUUAGGAAGGAUCUGCUGUGGUGCCUUAUUCCAGAUGCUGCUGCUCGUCUCUUCCUGCGCUUGGCCUGGGAUGCCCUACAAUGCCCCAUACUGGCUAAGAAAUGUGAAAACAGCUGAAGAAGAAAUAAAGCAAAAGAGAAAAACAAGGAAAAAAGGGUAAACAAAGAGAGAAUUCACCUUUCACUCGCCUGCAAAGUCCUCGGUUGGAGAAUGAAGUUAAGACACAAAAGCUUAGCAACAACAACAUUGUGGGGGAAGGCACGAGAGGGAAGCCGAACAGCCAUUAAAGCAAUUAAGAAAAGAUUAAGGUCGCUGGUGGUGGAGAGAGAGAGAGACCCAUUAAUCAAUAGGCCAGAAAUCGCAGCAGGCUACAAAAUUAUAAAACUAGGCAAACUGGAGAACCACAGAGGCUCACCUCAACCAAGAUGCCUGAGUAACUCAAAAACAGAAACAUUAUAUUCAUUUCUCAAGCUUGGGGAAAAAAAAACAGGUCUUAGAAGAACUCUUUCCUUUUAAUCAGCUAAUGGAGACUUCCUGAGGUGGGGGUGAGAUCCAUGUUGAUUUCAAGGCAAAUUCUAAAGCAUCAAGGUCUAAAGAAAAAUUUGUAAUAAUGAGUGAUAAACAAUGUUAGUGGGCUGAGGGGAUAUCAUAGCAGAAAGCUGUGCGGUAAUCUUAGGCAGGGUCCUAAAAUGCCCUAGGGUAGGUUACAUUAUUGUUCACAAAUAUUUGCUGCCCCUGCCUGGGGAAGACAUACAUCCCAGCCCCACUGACAGCCCGCUUGGCUCUCUGACUUGCUUUGGCCAAUGCAGUACGUGUCCCUUCCAGGCGGAAGCUUUAAGAGCCAGGGGCACAUGGUUUGCCAUAUGCUUUUUGUCCCUUUGCAAUAAUAGCACAGCAAUAUUCUAGAUCCAACUUGUCCAACCUGCGGCUGGCUGGCCACCUGUGACCAGCUUUGAAUGCAGCCCAACACAAAUUCAUAAACUUUCUUAACACAUUAUGAGAUUUUUGUGUGUGUGUGAUUUUUUUUUUCUUUUCCCUCAUCAGCUCUCGUUAGUGUUAGCAUAUUUUGUGUGGCCCAAGACAAUUCUUCUUCUUCCAAUGUGACCCAGGGAAGCCAAAAGAUUGGACAAUGCUGUUCGAGAUAGAUUCCCCAGACUGAAACUAAAUGGGGCAAAGGCUCAGCCGACAGGCAGAGGACCUGUAACCUGAGCAAGAAAUAAAUUUUGUUGGCUUAGUACUGAGAAAUGGGGGAGGAGUGUUUGUUCCACAACCUAUCCUGAUUAAUACAUUUCCCUGUGACAUGUCACUGCCACACAGAACCUUCAUUGGCUCCCUAUUUCUUACAGGAUAAAUCCUGAACUCUUGGUCUUGAUAUCAAGCCCUACUCCCUGCACCCAUUCAUCUUAGAUUCUGCAUUUCUCUUUGUGUCUUGAUUGACUUGUUUCCUCACUGUGCCCCACACAUAACUUUUUGGGCAAGUGUUGGUGAAGUUCUCCUCUGCCAAGAGAUCCAAAUUGUGCAGGCCUUUGAUCAUGCUCUCUCUGACACCUGCUCUGUAAAGCCAUUUCUAAUCAUCUCCAUCUCAAAGCUAUUUCUAGAUCAUUCCAGCUUAUGAUAUCUGCCAUUCAAAUAACACUUAUUUUUACUUAAAAG